GCGAGGGAGAGUUGAAGUAGACACAAGUGGAGGGCGAGAAGAAAUGAGAUUGACAAGGGAGAGCAUUCAGAGAGCAGGAGUGUAACCACGUACGUGGGGUAUGGCUUUGAUAAUAUAGGGGUCACUUUAGCAACUUCCUGUAAAAAUUCCUACCCACACUUAUGCACACUGCACAUUCAUGCAAUCAUGCCCAAUGCCAAAAUGUGGAACGGAAAAGAGAGAGAGAAGAAGAACAGAAGAAGUGGAAGCAAUUGCAAGGAGAGAUCAGAUCAUGGUCGCGUGAAGAACGUCGAAGAGAAAUGCGGCAACUUUGGAAAGCAAACAUACAAUGAGAGUCACCGUC
rnacentral:lncRNA from 1 species